rnacentral:rRNA from 1 species
GUGCAGCAGGCGCGAAACCUUCACAAUGCGCGAAAGCGCGACGAGGCUACUCUGAGUGCCAUCCGCUGAGGAUGGCUUUUCUCGGGUGUAAAAAGCCCGAGGAAUAAGGGGAGGGCAAGUCUGGUGUCAGCCGCCGCGGUAAUACCAGCUCCUCGAGUGGUUGGGGCGUUUAUUGGGCCUAAAGCAUCCGUAGCCGGCUCCAUAAGUCCUCCGUUAAAUCCAACGGCUCAACCGUUGGGCUGCGGAGGAUACUGUGGGGCUAGGGGGCGGGAGAGGCGGACGGUAUUCCCUGGGUAGGGGUAAAAUCCGCUGAUCCAGGGAGGACCACCAGUGGCGAAGGCGGUCCGCCAGAACGCGCCCGACGGUGAGGGAUGAAAGCUGGGGGAGCGAACGGGAUUAGAUAUGAAGUUGAGUUUUUACCAGCUUCACUAGAAAACCCGGGUAGUCC